UGCAGCAAAGUUGAAGAUAAUUCAGAUAAUGUGGAGGUGAUUGCAACGCUCAGAGAGGGCUAUUCAUCUUCGGUGGCCAGUGCGAUUUUUGAUGAUUGUUACUUCAUGUCUUUAGAUUUCAAUCAUAUUGUUUAUGAGCAUUGUUUUAGAGAGAACAAUAAGGUAGCACACGAAUUAGCUAGUCUAGCUAGAUUCACUCCUCCUAAUGUAUGGAUGGAUGCUGCCUCGACGGCUGUCAUCCCCUUAAUUGUAUCAGAUGCUACAAUUGUAGCCAAUUAA
rnacentral:rRNA from 1 species